rnacentral:lncRNA from 1 species
CACAAGAGCCCAAAGAGGUCUUUGUAUCCAGCUCUGACGUUAUGCCGAUGACAUCCUUGAGAGGUAGAAAAUAUUUGCUUCAUUGGCCUUUUGGUGUUCUUUUUUAACAGGUGUACCAUAUAUAAACUGCUUCAUUCCUUGUUGAAAAAAAGAAGUGUGAAAGGACAAUAGGUGUAUAUGAGAGAGAGGGGCUUGUGGCAGCCACGUCUAUGCUGCCAGAAGAGCUGCCUCAGAGCUGCCUGUCGUUGGCCCUUGGAAGCCGAGGGAGAUACUAAAGUUUCUAGAGAAAGUUGAAGAAGCAGCUGUGAGGUGACAUCAAGGAGGGAGAGAGAGUACUGGCCUCCUUCCAAAGUACUCCUAGGACUUGGAGGGAAAUUGUAUGUGGAAUAUUCUUUCCAAUAUUGGUGGUGUGGCUCCUGUAUAAUUUGCCAGAUGAAAAUCAGGUGCACAUCUCUUCUGUCAAGAUAGAGACCAAUAUUUUCAGGGAAAAGUCAGAGAGAGGCAUCAGGAGGCAUGAAGCAUACUGGCAUGAGGCCUGCAGUGGACAAACACACAGAUCUUCAUCACUACAAAAAAGAUGCCUUGAUUUUCUCCCAUCCCAUCAAGCCAAACCUCAGAGGACCGCAGGAGGGAGAACUUGGUGGAGUAAACACACAGAGAACUUGAAGCACCUGUUGAACCACUCUUUUGGGUUGAAGAGAAUCCCUAAAGAACUGACACUGUCAGGUAUUCUUUAUGGUCAGGGAGUUAAUGGCCUAAAGUUCAAUUUGGGCUGAACAUUCUAAUAAGGCAGGUUCAAAU